UUCAUGCACUGGGCCUCUAUUUUGGAUAUAAGCAUUUAGACACAGAAAUCCUUUAUCAUAGGGGAUAUUGUUUGUGAUACUAUUUUUUUUGUUUUAAUUGUGAUUGCUUUUAUGUAACAAUCAUGAAUACUAAAUUUGAUUUUGAGUAUAGAAUUUCCUUGUACCUAAUCUUUGUAGCCAGCAGGUGUCACUCUGUAAAAUUUGCAAAAGCAAAACCUAAAGUUGACAGUUUCUUUAAAGAAUUAUAAGAAUAGCUUGUAGGGCUACUCGCAACUGCGAAUGCCAUGAUCCUCAAGCCUCUUCUAUGAACAUUGUGAAAAUACUCACAGGAGGAACAGAGUCUGUGAAAAAAAAAAAAAAUAGUUAAAACCUUUGACAUGAGAAUAUUGACUUUUAACAGCUCAUUGGAUUUUCUGAGCUAUCAAAAUAUGCUAUUGCAUUAAGUUAGCAUUUUAGAAAUAAUUCUGGUGGGAGCAUAGCUGAGUUGUCAAGUACUAUGGCUAUCUGCAUGGUAUCUAGAUUCAGGCUGGUAUGAAAUUAAAAUAACAAAUGCAAAUAGAUCUAAUUCUUAGCCACUUUAAGAAUGUCAAAAGUUUAUGUUUUCAUAUUCCUACUUUAAUGUAGGAUAGUUCAGCGUAAAUCUGAGAUUGGCGUUUAUUUUUUAUCUUAUUUAUCUUCUGUUAAUAAAGAUUUAUAAUUGAGAAUAACUAUGAAUGGUUUGUAGCAUUAUUUCAAAUAAUGCUGAUAGGGCUCCAAGAAAGCCUAUGUUAGCUUAUGUGAGUUUGAAUCAAAUUCUCAGGGUUCUUUUACUCAAAAAAAUGUGUCACCUAUCCUUUCUGAGCCUCUGUUCCCUCUUCUGUAAAGCAUAACUUACUCUAAUUUUAGGAAGAAUUCUGUAAUACCUGAAAUCAUGUCUUAUUUCUAUUUCAAUUCAGAGAAAAAUGUAAUACCCAAAAUAUUACUCAAGAGAAUGUGUUUUGAUUUUAUCAAAAAUUAGAGGCCCUGUGCACAAAUUUUGAUAGCUGCUUUUUG